GAUGAACGCUGGCGGCGUGCCUAAUACAUGCAAGUCGAGCGAACAGACGAGGAGCUUGCUCCUCUGACGUUAGCGGCGGACGGGUGAGUAACACGUGGAUAACCUACCUAUAAGACUGGGAUAACUUCGGGAAACCGGAGCUAAUACCGGAUAAUAUAUUGAACCGCAUGGUUCAAUAGUGAAAGACGGUUUUGCUGUCACUUAUAGAUGGAUCCGCGCCGCAUUAGCUAGUUGGUAAGGUAACGGCUUACCAAGGCAACGAUGCGUAGCCGACCUGAGAGGGUGAUCGGCCACACUGGAACUGAGAAACGGUCGAGACUCCUACGGGAGGAAGCAGUAGGGAAUCUUCCGCAAUGGGCGAAAGCCUGACGGAGCAACGCCGCGUGAGUGAUGAAGGUCUUCGGAUCGUAAAACUCUGUUAUUAGGGAAGAACAAAUGUGUAAGUAACUAUGCACGUCUUGACGGUACCUAAUCAGAAAGCCACGGCUAACUACGUG
rnacentral:rRNA from 1 species